GGAGAUUUAGCUCAGUGGUAGAGCGUUUGCCUAGCAAGCGCAAGGCCCUGGGUUCGGUCCCCAGCUCCA
rfam:Rattus norvegicus chromosome 12, whole genome shotgun sequence.